rnacentral:rRNA from 1 species
AGCGAACGCUGGCGGCAGGCCUAACACAUGCAAGUCGAACGAACUCUUCGGAGUUAGUGGCGGACGGGUGAGUAACACGUGGGAACGUGCCUUUAGGUUCGGAAUAACUCAGGGAAACUUGUGCUAAUACCGAAUGUGCCCUUCGGGGGAAAGAUUUAUCGCCUUUAGAGCGGCCCGCGUCUGAUUAGCUAGUUGGUGAGGUAAAGGCUCACCAAGGCGACGAUCAGUAGCUGGUCUGAGAGGAUGAUCAGCCACAUUGGGACUGAGACGCGGCCCAAACUCCUACGGGAGGCAGCAGUGGGGAAUCUUGCGCAAUGGGCGAAAGCCUGACGCAGCCAUGCCGCGUGAAUGAUGAAGGUCUUAGGAUUGUAAAAUUCUUUCACCGGGGACGAUAAUGACGGUACCCGGAGAAGAAGCCCCGGCUAACUUCGUG